CAGCUACAGAGAGUCCAGACAGCAACUCCCACCCUGCAGAGACAGCCUACAGCUCAGGGAAGUAAGGGAUGGGGGGAAAGGCUGCAAGGAGACAUGGGGACACUGAGACACUAAGGGACACUGGGAGACAUUAUGGCAGACACUGAGACACUAAGGGACAUUGGGAGACAUUAUGGGAGACACUAAGGGACACUGGGAGACAUUAUGGCAGACACUGAGACACUAAGGGACACUGGGAGACAUUAUGACAGACACUGAGACACUAAGGGACACUGGGAGACAUUAUGGCAGACACUGAGACACUAAGGGACACUGGGAGACAUUAUGGCAGACACUGAGACACUAAGGGACAUUGGGAGACAUUAUGGCAGACACUGAGACACUAAGGGACAUUGGGAGACAUUAUGGCAGACACUGAGACACUAAGGGACACUGGGAGACAAUAUGGCAGACACUGAGACAUUAAGGGACAUUGGGAGACAUUAUGGCAGACACUGAGACACUAAGGGACACUUGGAGACAUUAUGGCAGACAUUGAGACACUAAGGGACACUGGGAGACAAUAUGGCAGACACUGAGACAUUAAGGGACAUUGGGAGACAUUAUGGCAGACACUGAGACACUAAGGGACAUUGGGAGACAUUAUGGCAGACAUUGAGACACUAAGGGACACUGGGAGACAUUAUGGCAGACACUGAGACACUAAGGGACAUUGGGAGACAUUAUGGCAGACAUUGAGACACUAAGGGACACUGGGAGACAAUAUGGCAGACACUGAGACACUAAGGGGCACUGGGAGACAUUAUGGCAGACACUGAGACACUAAGGGACACUGGGAGACAAUAUGGCAGACACUGAGACAUUAAGGGACAUUGGGAGACAUUAUGGCAGACACUGAGACACUAAGGGACAUUGGGAGACAUUAUGGCAGACAUUGAGACACUAAGGGACACUGGGAGACAAUAUGGCAGACACUGAGACACUAAGGGACACUGGGAGACAUUUUAGCAGACACUGAGACACUAAGGGGCACUGGGAGACAUUAUGGCAGACAUUGAGACACUAAGGGACACUGGGAGACAAUAUGGCAGACACUGAGACACUAAGGGACACUGGGAGACAGUAUGGCAGACAAUAAGGGACACUGGGAGACGUUAUGGCAGACACUGAGACACUAAGGGACACUGGGAGACAUUAUGGCAGACACUAAGGGACACUGGGAGACAUGGGUCACUGAGACACUGAUACAUAGGAACACUGAGACCUGGAGUAAUCGACACAUGGGGGCACUGAGUCAUGAGGGCACUGGGAGACAUGGGGGCACUGGGAGGAAUCCAUCUAUACAGCAGAAUCAAACUAAGUAGUUUUUUG
rnacentral:lncRNA from 1 species